rnacentral:rRNA from 1 species
UGCAGUCGAACGAAGUAGCAAUACUUAGUGGCAGACGGGUGAGUAACAUGUGGGUAUCUACCCUUUGGCCUGGAAUAACACGAGGAAACUUGUGCUAAUACCGGAUAAGUCUUUACGGAGAAAGCUUUAUGCACCAUUGGAUGAGCCCGCACUUGAUUAGUUUGUUGGUAGGGUAAUGGCCUACCAAGACUAUGAUCAAUAGCUGAUUUGAGAGGAUGAUCAGCCACAUUGGGACUGAGACACGGCCCAAACUCCUACGGGAGGCAGCAGUGGGGAAUCUUGCACAAUGGAGGAAACUCUGAUGCAGCGAUGCCGCGUGAGUGAAGAAGGCCUUUGGGUUGUAAAGCUCUUUCGUCGGGGAAGAAAAUGACUGUACCCGAAUAAGAAGGUCCGGCUAACUUCGUGCCAGCAGCCGCGGUAAUACGAAGGGACCUAGCGUAGUUCGGAAUUACUGGGCUUAAAGAGUUCGUAGGUGGUUGAAAAAGUUGGUGGUGAAAUCCCAGAGCUUAACUCUGGAACUGCCAUCAAAACUUUUCAGCUAGAGUAUGGUAGAGGAAAGCAGAAUUUCUAGUG